UACAAAGGAAUUGACGGGACCGCACAAGCGGUGGAUGAUGUGGUUAAUUCGAUGCAACGCGAAAACCUUACCACCUUUGACAUGUACGGAAUCCUCUAGAGAUAGAGGAGUGCUCGAAAGAGAGCCGUAACACAGGUGCUGCAUGGCUGUCGUCAGCUCGUGUCGUGAGAUGUUGGGUUAAGUCCCGCAACGAGCGCAACCCUUGUCAUUAGUUGCUACGAAAGGGCACUCUAAUGAGACUGCCGGUGACAAACCGGAGGAAGGUGGGGAUGACGUCAAGUCCUCAUGGCCCUUAUAGGUGGGGCUACACACGUCAUACAAUGGCUGGUACAAAGGGUUGCCAACCCGCGAGGGGGAGCCAAUCCCAUAAAGCCAGUCGUAGUCCGGAUCGCAGUCUGCAACUCGACUGCGUGAAGUCGGAAUCGCUAGUAAUCGUGGAUCAGCAUGUCACGGUGAAUACGUUCCCGGGUCUU
rnacentral:rRNA from 1 species